ensembl:lncRNA
AAUUCCCGGGCCGCCCCGCCCUCCCCAGCGGCCAGAACCCCCCGGCGGGCUCCUCCCGUGGGAACUGCUGUCUCGGCAGCAGGCACCCAGCCACGUGGGUGCCAGGAAUGAGCGCGCCCGCGGAGCAGCGGCUACGCAGCACCCGGGAGCAGUAUAGAGCUGCAGGUUCUCAGGUCCUUCCCCAGACCUGCUGUUCAGAAUCUGCACUUUAACAAGAUCUUCGGGCCCACCUCAGAGAUCUGCCUGAAGCCACACUGCACCACGCCCUGGUUCUAGAAGAGUGCUCUUCCCUCCGGCAUCCCUCAUGUGUCUCAUGAAUCUUUAUAGACUCCAGGAGUUGGGAUACCCAGAAAACAAACUCUCUGCCCUCCUGUCGAUUCUGUGCCAACAGAGAGGCAACAAAUAGACCGGUUGCCAUUCUAAUUGGGUGGUUAGAGAGGCCUCACCGAGAAGAAGACCUGGAAGAACUGGGAAGAAGCCAUGUGGCUAAGAGGAAACCCAUGUGUCGGGCAGAUGAAAGCAAUUACAAAGGCUCUGAGGUGGGAGAGCUCUGACUUCAAGAAGAUCAGUGAACCCGCAACAGAUGAUAGAGGGCAGAGGGGGAGGAGACGGGGGUUGCGUGUCCCAUGGAGCCUUGUUCGGAGUGGAAGGACUCUGGCUUUUUACUCCAACUGAGAUGGAGGCAUUAAAACACAUGAUCCGACUUAUGUUUGAAAAAGAUCACUCUGGCUGCUGCGUUAAAACCACACUCUCAGCAACAAGUGCAAUAGAAGGAGGGGCCAGCAGGGAGGCUCCACUAAUCCAGGAGCGGGGCGAUGGCCACGGAGCUGGCAGCAAACGGGGUGAGGGGCGAGAUGCGGUCAGAGUCUGACCCGUAUUUUGAAGGUAGAGCCCACAGGACUUGCUGACACAUUUGAUGUGGGAUGGGAGACGAAAAAAAAGAAUACAAAAUGGUUUCAGAUGUUCAGCCCAAGAACUGGAAGUUGCCAUUUGCUGUGGGAGGAGCAAUUCAGUUCAAGAAUUCAGUUUUUGACGUGCAAAAUUUGAGGAACAUAAAGAGACACGGAGAGAUGUUGUGUAAAAUUAAACAAAUGAGCAUAGAGGUCAGAAGAGAACUCUGGGCUGGAGUGUAUAAACCCAGGACCUACCAGCACAGAGAUGGUAUUCAAAGCGUGAAACUGAAUGAGAUCAUCAAGGGAGUGAGUGUAGACAGAAAAGCUAAGAGGACCAGGGAACAAGUCCUGGGCACUUCGCUGUCUAGUGGUUGAGGGGCUGAGGAGGAAACCACAAAACAGUAGUCAGUGAAACAGAAAAGUCAGGACAGUAAGAUCUCUUAAAAGCCAAGUGAAGAAAGUAUUUCAAAGAGGAGGGAAUGGCCAGGUGUGUCACAUGCAAUUUAUAGCUGUAGGAAAAUAUGAGGAUUAAGAAUUGACAGGACUUCCUGGGCUGUCCAGUGGUUAAGAUCUGCCUAUCAAAGCAAGGGACACAGGUUCAACACCUGGUCCGGGAAGAUUCCACAUGCUGCAGAGCAACUAAAACCCAGGCAGCACAACUACUGAGCCCGAGUGCCUAGUGUCUUCAUAUGUGAGAAGAAUAUGUUGGGUGAAUUAUAUCUCGAUAAAGCUAUUUUCGAAAAAAAUUGAUGGUUGGAUUUACCAAUGUGAAGGUGACAGGUGACAUCGACAAAAGCAGUUUUGGUCUAGCGGUGGGAACAAAAGCCUGACUGAAGUGUGUUCAAAAGAGAACAGAACAAGUGACGGCAGCAAGUAUGAACAUUUUCAAGGAGUUUUACUAUAUAGAU